UACGUAGGGUGCAAGCGUUAAUCGGAAUUACUGGGCGUAAAGCGUGCGCAGGCGGUUAUGUAAGACAGAUGUGAAAUCCCCGGGCUCAACCUGGGAACUGCAUUUGUGACUGCAUAGCUAGAGUACGGCAGAGGGGGAUGGAAUUCCGCGUGUAGCAGUGAAAUGCGUAGAGAUGCGGAGGAACACCGAUGGCGAAGGCAUCCCCGUGGGCUAGACUGACGCUCAUGCACGAAAGCGUGGGGAGCAAACAGGAUUAGAACCGGUACUCGUAGUCG
rnacentral:rRNA from 1 species